rnacentral:rRNA from 1 species
GGGGUCAGUAGGUUGGUCGUGCCACCGGUACGUACUGGUCUCACUGAUUCCUCCUUCCUGAAGAACCGUAAUGCCAUUAAUUUGGUGUUGCGGGGAAACAGGACUGUUACUUUGAAAAAAUUAGAGUGUUUAAAGCAAGCUAACGCUUGAAUACAUCAGCAUGGAAUAAUGAAAUAGGACGAUCGAUCCUAUUUUGUUGGUUUCUAGGAUUGACGUA